AAUUAGAGAGAGAGAGACAGAAGAGAAAAAUUAGAGAAGAUUGAGAGAGGGCCGAGAUUGAGGAUACAGAGUGAGUUGAGAGAGAGAAAUAGAGGAGCCAAGAGUUGCAGAGAGGUCCGAGAGUUUACAAAGGAGGUCUUGGAGCUUGAGGCUAUGAUGAUCCAAUGAGGAAAAUUCUUUUUCAGGGGUUGGGAAAGGAAAUAGUGAAUGCCGAUCCCUUUCAAGCAUGAAGAGAACUAAAGAUCUAUUUUGAUACCUUUUGUGUUUUGGUUAAAUUUUUGUAAAGUCUCAAAUUAUGGAAAAGAGUAUUAAUUUAUUUUA